UUUAAUAAGACUGCUUUUGCUGCACAUACUUAUAACAGUUAUCAUGUCAAGUUCUAUUUUGACUCUUACUUGGGUCAGGGUUUCUCUAGGCUAUGAUUACGGCAAGAUAUUGGAUGGCAUAAUCAAGUCUGUGAUGCCUCCAGCUCGGAUUAGUGUAAUUAUCGGUGAAGAUUAUCAAUUGAAGAAAUCUAUUCUUCGAGAUUACCUAACAAACAAGAAGUACUUUAUUGUGCUUGAUGUCGUCUUCAAUGACCGUGAGAUAUGGGAUGAUCUCGAAGAAGUUCUCCCUGAUAAUGAGAAUGGAAGCAGAGUAUUAAUAUUGGCCGCUGAUCCAGACCUCCUUGAGUCGUUGGAAAUGGAAAAUGGAGAGAAGAUUCGGCAUGGUUCAGUGCUCGUUGGAGGACCAUUGAUUAGACUAAAGCAUGAGGCCUGGCAAUUUUUCAUCCUGCACUAUGGAAGUAUGCCAUUAGAAAAUUAUCUUCAAAGCGAAGCGAUUCCGACAGUAUGGAGACAAAUUUUCUCUGUGAUGGAGUUACCUUUUCACUUGAAAGUCUGCUGCAUCUAUUUGUGUGUCUUCCGUCCAAGUAUUGAGAUAUCUACGAGGCAAUUAUAUCAGUUGUGGGUAGCUGAAGGUUUCAUGCCAUACAACGGUGAAGAAACUGCCGAACAUUACUUGAAAGAACUAAUCCAUUGCGGCUUCAUUCAAGUGAGUAAGCGAGGAGCCGGAGGCACAAUUAAAGCGUGUUAUGUUCCAAGUUUUGUAUAUACUUCAUUGGGUUUGGUGGCAGAGAAGACGAGAUUUGUCUGAAUGCCUGCAUGGGUAGGGGAAUCAAUUGAAAAUGCUAAACGGUGCUUCAUUUUGAAAGAUCUGAUUGACUUCUUUCCUUUAGAAUAUUCUAACAUGUAUCUCCAAUCUUUUCUGAAUCACAGUUCAGAAAGCGAUCGUCUCGCUCUGAUAGAUUGCGAGAAUUUUUGUAAAAAUUUCAAACACCUUCGGGUAUUGAAUUUGGGUUUUGCAGUUCUCGACCAAUUUCCACCCGGAUUAGAAAAUUUAUUCCUUUUGAAGUAUUUGAAAUUGAAUAUCCCUUCGCUCAAAUGCCUUCCUUCGCAACUAUGCACCUUUUUAAGCCUUCAAACACUAGAAAUGCCAUCUAGCUACAUAGAUCAGUCACCAGAGGAUAUUUGGAUGAUGCAAAAACUCAUGCAUCUAGACUUCUGAAAGAAAACGUAAACUCUACUGAUCUGUACUGUUUGGUUACUAAGAAAAUCUGCUCUGUUUUACUGAGAAAACUUCAGAGCAUAUACUGGUUUUUUUUAUUUCUUCUUUUAUGAAUUCUCAAAUGAGUACAAAGCACACCUUUUAUACAUUUGUUAACAGAAAGGAAAACUAAUCAGAAUAAAAUCUCAGCAAGCCUUAACUAACUUUGCUGAGCUGGCAUUGCUUACUUAACUAACUUCAGCUCAGCAAAUUCUCCCACGUGCUACGGUUCCAUCACUCUGCCUGCACAUCCAAAAAAUUAUUCCAGCUCUUUGAAGAAUCUCAUUUUCGUAUCAGCCUUACACCCUAUUAGUUGCACCCCAGCUAUAUUGGGUAGACUACCAAAUGUCCAAAGUCUAAGAAUAUCUGGAGAUUUGAGUUACUAUCAAUCUGGGCUUUCCAAAAGUCUAUGCGAACUGCACAAAAUUGAAUGCUUGAAGCUGGUGAAUGAGAGCAAGCGCUCACGGAUUAUCCUAUCUGAAUACCAAUUUCCUCCAAGUCUGAGCCAUCUGAGCUUAUCGAAUACUGGGCUAAUGGAGGAUCCCAUGCCAAUGCUGGAAAAGCUUCCACGCCUUCAAGUGCUGAAACUGAAGCAGAACUCGUAUUUAGGAAGAAAGCUGGCCUGCGUUGGCUCUGGUUGCUUUCCGGAACUUAAGGUUUUGCACCUGAAAUCAAUGUAUUGGCUAGAUGAGUGGACGAUGGGGGGAGGAGCAAUGCCAAAACUUGAAAGCUUAAUUGUCAACCCAUGUGCUUACCUGAGAAAGCUUCCAGAAGAGCUGUGGUGCAUAAAGAGCUUGCGCAAAUUGGAUUUACAUUGGCCUCAGACAGAGUUGAGACAAAGACUACGGACUUUCGAGGAUAUGGAGUGGCGGUAUGACAUCCAGUUAUAUCCUUACGGAAUCUGAUGGAUUGAAUUGGGUGAGUUUUAAUCUUAUCUGAUAUCUCAUACUUUAGUUGCCCUUUUUUUUCCACUUUCUCAGUAGAUCUAUGUUUAUUGUAAAACCUUCAAAGGGUCAUACAAAUGAAAAAUUCAUUUAUGAUUCUUAUUUCCCUUCACUUGUGUAGGCAAAAUCGGAGAGGGAAACAACAGGGCGUCGUUUCAUUUAGCAGAUUUCAAGGAUUUGCUAUAACUGAUGCGAUGGUUGCAAUAUUGUCUACAAACUUGAAUUGUUGUACUCCUUUUUCUAUUUUUCGAAUUUGCUGGCAUGUAUGUAUGUAUGUAUGUGUGUAUAUUGUGUUUUAGUUACUGUUUUAUGCUUAGAAGUACUCCAUUUAAGCCGCGGACCUGCAGGUAUGGUUUCGCUAGCUUUGGACUUGUAUGACUUGUAUGGCUAGUUUUGGACUUAUCAUUGUCUAAUAGAGCAUAUUUGCAGUUAUCUAAAAAAAAAAUUGUUAUUUUUUUAAAUAUAAUUGCAAUCUACAUACAUAUACAUCUAUAAUGCUGGUCUAAUUGUUCUUGUUUCUAAUGUCAAAAUUAUAGCCACGGACAUUGCUGCAGAGAAACAAAGAAACCUCUGUAUUGUAAUAAGUAAGAACAGUGUAAUAGCAGAUUUUCAUUUGUGAUUCUUAUUUUCUUGUACAUGUUUAGGUAAAAUCAGAGAGGGAAACAUCACCUGCCAGACCUUCAAUAGUUCAAUUUCAACUGUGAUUCAGCAUCCAUCAAUUCUUUCUUUGUUUCUGCUGUCAAUUCAUAAGUUCUCAUAAGGCUGGGCAUCUUUUUGUUCAGUAGAUUUCGACGACGCCAUGGCUACAGUAUUGUCCACAAACUUGAAUCAUUUUUUUUUUUUAAUUUAGUGGGUAUGUAUAUUGUAUUAUUUAUUUGUUGUGUGCUCAGAAGUACUGCAAGUUAAGCCCUGGAAAAUGUGAGAAGAAAAAGAAAUUAAACUAGAUUACACGAUAUUAGCAUAUUGUUCUUUGCUUGAACCAAGUUCUUCUUUGCUUUAGCUUUUGUUAAGAUGCUGUCUUAACCUUCCUCCUUUUUCUUAUUGCUAGUUUGAUAUCUCUUAUCUUUUCUUGAACCAAGAUAUUUCCCUUAACUUACAAGUAAAGUUCAAAUGCUCUUUCUCUUUUCUCUUAACUUCGGUUUACUUAUGCAAUCAUUUUCAAUUCUACCAAAACCAUCCAUUUAUCAAUACCCAAAUUGUUCUACAUUCUAAUUUUGUUGUGCCUUCCAACUUAUAUUUGAUUGUGUUGCUUAUAUCGUCCGAAUAUCGAAGUCCUUGAUUACUCAAUAUAACAACAGCAGGUACUUCAAUUAUUAUUCAAAAGUUAUAUUUCUUUUUUCAUUUUCAUGUGUCAAAAUCAUCACCACGCAUGCAAUUUAUUUUGUAAAAAUCAUCACUCACAUACUCCUCGUUUCUAAAUUACUUUUUUUAAAAGACCAAAGUUGAAUUAUGUCAUUAUAAACUCUUGAACAGAACAAUCAUCAUCCUUCAUAUUAAUGUUCUUUGUCAGACAGAACUAACAAUCCUUUAUCAUUUGUUGAUGGAGAUUUUCUGCAUUGAUCAACUUAAUAGUUAUGAAAACCAUCCCCUAACCCCAAAGCAACAAAAGAAUCUACAACCAAUCAGCAUAAAAUUAUGUACAACUAUACAUUUCUUAUUAAUUUAUGCAUGUAGUGAUGUUUUGAAUCAUAUCAGAGAAUCGUUUAUAUUUAUUAAGACUCAAUGUACAUGCACUUUGUAGUAUCGCCCAGAGAUCUGCCAAGCAUUAGCUUAGAAAUCUACUCUGUCCAAAUUCAAAGAAAUUAGCCUGGGUCAUAUUUAAAUAAAUAAAUAUAAGGCUGUUCUCAUCACAUUUGAACUUAUUUACAAGCAUAGCUCUUGAUAUUUAAAUAUAUAUAUAUAGCUGUUAAAUAGAUAAUAAGCAUAGAUCUUCACCUUUAGAUGGUUGCAAUAUUGUCUACAAAGUUGAAUAGUUGCACUCCUUUUCUAUUUUUUAUUUGCUGGUACGGCUUCAAUUGGCCUAUCUCCUCUCAUAAUAUUUCUUUCAUUCAUAACUAUUGGAUAAAGAUUAGAAUUUGAUCAAUGAAAAAAAGAUAAACAAUUACCAAUUCUAAUUGAAAUGCCAUUGUAUUUUCUUAAAUUUCAAUUUCUGGUUUGAGUUUGAUUUAUGUGAUGGGAAGUAGAUGGCUGUGGUUCAUUUUGUGGUUGUGAUUCAGUUUGUUGUUGUGUUGGUGACAAUGGUAUGGUUGAUGAGGAAUGUUCUGAUAUUGUAGUUUGAGAAUGCUCUUGUUGAUGCAGAUUAUUUGUGUGUGUAGAAACAGAAGGUACCUGUUCACUGCUCUCUGUACUUGCUGAUUGAAGAUCUUCCAAGCUGCUGUCAGUUAAGGAUAAUGUGGAGAGAUUAUAAAUUUGUUGCUGGGAAAAGUUUGACACUGAUAAUUCAGAAUUUGAACUGUUCUCAGAUGAAUGAAAUACUUUGUUAGUUGAGUAAGGGAAUGUAUUUUCAUCAAAGAUAACAUGCCUUAGGAUAUGAAUUUUUCCUGAACUUGUUAAACACUUGUAACCCUUGUAAGAAGGAUUAUAGCCAAUGAAGAUGCAUUUGGUGGUGUGAAAAUCAAAUUUGUGUUUAUUAAAAUCUCUCAUAUAUGGAUAACAUAGGCAACCAAAACACUUAAGAAAAGAAUAAUCUGGUUUGUGUUUAUAAAGCUUUUCAUAAGGAGAUAAAAGCUUAAGAACAGGUGUUGGUAACCUAUUAAUAUGAUAUGCUGCUGUGUGAACAGCUUCCCACCAAAACUGAAAAGGGAGACUAGCUUGAGCUAAGAGUGUCAAUGCUAAUUCAAUUAUGUGUCUGUGUUUCCUCUCAACAAGACCAUUCUGGUGAUGAGUAUAAGGGCAUGAAUGUCUAAACUUGAUCCCAUUUUGAUUGAGAAAAUCACUGAAUACUCUAAACUCUCCCCCCAGAUCAGAUUGCAAUUCCUUAAUCUUGGUAUUAAACUGAUUUUCAACUUGUGCCUUGAACAAUUUGAAGACUUCAAAUGCUUGUGAUUUAAGCUUAAGUGGAUAGAUCCAGGUGUAUUUAGUGUAAUCAUCCACAAAACUAAUGUAAUACUUGUAUCCAUUUCUGGAUACAGUGGGUGAAGAUCCCCACAAAUCAGUAUGAAUAAGUUCUAAUACCCCUUUUGUUUUUGUUUCAGUUGCUGGAAAACUUUGCCUGUGAACUUUGCCUAACUGACAUGCCUCACACAAAGAAUUUGUACAAUCCACAAUAUCUUUAUGAGAGAAUUUAAAUUGCUUGCAAGACUUAACUAAAUGCAUCAGAAUCAUUGAACUUGGAUGACCAAAUUUUCUAUGUAACAAAGUCAUUACAUCAGAUUUGGUUUUGCAUUUAUUAGAAACAUAAUGAUAACAAGCUUUAGAAGGACUAUCAAAGCUUUGAAAGCUAGACAACAUUGAGAUAGGUUUAUUUAGAUCCAUUUUUGGGAUCCAUUUUCUGUAAUUCUCUUUCCAUCUUGUAUUUUCUUCGUAUUUUAAUAAAUUUCCAUUUUGCCCCUAGUUCAAUUAUGAGUGGCUAAUUUUCUUUCAAGUUUGGGUUGAAGUUGAAGUCUCAACAUGUGUCAUGGGCUUUAUUUGGUAAAUUUAUUUUCUCUUCCCUUCUAGUUUUUGUGGAUGUUUUGACUUCUCGUCGACAAAUAAUAAUAGUCUUGUCUAGAUACCGCUUUGGUUAUACCGGCUCUCUAGUAUAAGGUUAUUAUUAUUUGGCACGAUAAGCCCUUAGCACCAUAUUGAUUUGAGCGUGGUUCAUGAGGUGUGGAUUCCCCCCUCAUGAUUUAAUUGGCAUUAAUAAGGAUUAUUUAGCCCAUGAUGCAUGUUGAUACGGAUCCAGAUACCCAAGUACGUCAUUUCAAUAGAAUUCUCUUCAAUUUAUUCUCGCCAUUUCAAUUCCAAUUUCAGAAUUUAUUCUUGCCAUUUUAAUUUAAGUUUUAGCAUAUUCCAAAUCAUUUCCACCACAGAUCCAAUCAACCAUUUGCAAAAUUAAUUCUAUACACAAUUAAAAUCCACCUCCUCGUGGGAUCGACACUCGUCACUAUUGAUCUAUACUACAAUAGAUUCGUGCGCUUGCGAGUACAUUAAAAUUUGCACAACACUUCCCACCAAAACUGAAAAGGGAGAUUAGCUUGAGCUAAUAGUGUCAAUGCUAAUUCAAUUAUGUGUCUAUGUUUCCUCUCAACAAGACCAUUCUGGUGAUGAGUAUAAGGGCAUGAAUGUCUAAACUUGAUCCCAUUUUGAUUGAGAAAAUCACUGAAUACUCUAAACUCUCCCCCCAGAUCAGAUUGCAAUUCCUUAAUCUUGGUAUUAAACUGAUUUUCAACUUGUGCCUUGAACAAUUUGAAGACUUCAAAUGCUUGUGAUUUAAGCUUAAGUGGAUAGAUCCAGGUGUAUCUAGUGCAGUCAUCCACAAAACUAAUGUAAUACUUGUAUCCAUUUCUGGAUACAGUGGGUGAGGGUCCCCACAAAUCAGUAUGAAUCAGUUCUAAUACUCCUUUUGUUUUUGUUUCAGAAGCUGGAAAACUUUGCCUGUGAACUUUGCCUAACUGACAUGCUUCACACAAAGAAUUUGUACAAUCCACAAUAUCUUUAUGAGAGAAUUUAAAUUGCUUGCAAGACUUANNNNNNNNNNNNNNNNNNNNNNNNNNNNNNNNNNNNNNNNNNNNNNNNNNNNNNNNNNNNNNNNNNNNNNNNNNNNNNNNNNNNNNNNNNNNNNNNNNUCAUUACAUCAGAUUUGGUUUUGCAUUUAUUGGAAACAGAAUGAUAACAAGCUUUAGAAGAACUAUCAAAGCUUUGAAAGCUAGACAACAUUGAGAUAGGUUUAUUUAGCUUGGUAUGAAGAUGGGAUGAAGAAAAUGAAGAAUAGGGAUUAGAACUCAACAGCAGCUUGUAUAGACCUUUUUCAGCAAGUCCCUGCAGCAGAACUUGUCCCUUCAUGUCCUUCACAAAACAAACAUUCCCACAAAAUUCAACAGUUAUAGGGUUAUCAGAUGUCAGUUUAGAAAUGCUUAGUAGAUUUUUGGUAAUUGAUGGAACAAGUAAUAUAUCCUUAAGUACUAUUCUGGAAUGUGCAGAUAAGGAAUUUGAUGCUCUUUGUGACAGAAAUCCAAAACCAACGUGAGUGAUAGACAAACCUUCACCAUUACCAAUUAUGAGCUGAUCAGUACCUUUAAACUCCUCACUGAUCUGCAAGUUCUCCAUGUUGUUGGUCAGAUGGUGAGUUGCCCCACUAUCCAAGUACCAUCCAUCAUCAGCAACUCCUUCAAAGUUAGCCAUAAAUGCUGCUCCAGGAGUACAAGCAUCAAAACCAGAAUAAUAGCUACUGCCAGACAUAGGAUUAUAAGCUGAAGACAUAUAAUUGAAGUUCUCAUAAUCUUCAAAGUUUGGAUUUGGAGCAGAACCAUCAAAAUUUGACAGAUAUGCUGAUCUGGGUGCUUUUCCUUUUCCAAAACCCCUUGGCAUUGGCACAUAAUCUUCAACAAAUCUAUGCCAACAGAUAUCAGUAGUAUGACCAGAUUUGAAACAAAUCUGACAUAUUGAGUCCACUGGAUUGUUAUUGAAAGCUCCUUAUGAUCCAUUCUUGAUAACAGAUGGUGAACUCCUUGGUGCUAAAGGAUUAUUACCAUUAAAAGGAUUACCAACAGGAUAUCCUCUACCAAAGCCACCUCUAAAACCUCCAUUAAACAUUCUUGGAGAAAGAUUCAUAUUUCCUCUACCAGAGAAAACAUUCCUACCACCAUAAUAACCUCCUCUCCUAAAAUUUCCUCUAGGCUGUGCAUAAUAAACCGUAUGAUGAAAUGAAUUAGUAUAGGCAUUAGUAUAUGCAUAGUUAGCAUUGAACAUACUCUUAUCAUCCUGAUCUUGUUCCAACCUAGUUUCAUGAGUAAGCAAUAACGCAUAAGCAUCAUCAAAUUCCAUGCGUGAACUAGUUAUGAAGGUAGUAAUAUCACGGUAUCCUGAUCCUAAUCCAUUGAGUAUGGUUAGCAUUAGAGAUUCCUUUUUAAGAGUGUUCAGCUCAUAUCUCAGCUGAAGAACUCGAGCUUCAGAUUGAACUCCAAACUUAUUUUCUAAUGUUUUCCAUACACCAGAUGAACUUUCACAGUUAAUAACAAGACUAAGGAUACCUUCACUUAAUGUUGACAGCAGCCAACUAUGUUGUUACUUGAAUAAGAAAAGAAAACAAAGUUUACAAAUGGAAAUGAAAGCCACGUGAAUUGUCAAGAGAACUUCACUCAAUUCAUUAACUGAAAACAUUACACUUUAAAGCUUAAAUAGCACACCAAAGCCAAAUAACAACCCACUAGAAUCAUGGUCCAAAGAUUGUGCCACGAUCACAGCAAGAAUCAACAAAAUAAAUAACCAACACCAGAAAAAUAGGAAAAGUUUGAAACAUUCAACAGAAGCAACUUCUAUGACUCCACAUCAGCAGUCCUAAACACAUCUUCUAACACUCCUCCUUGCUUUAGGAGCUGCAAACACCAAGUUUUGUUAUGAAAAACUCAAACUUGCUAACCGGCAGUGGCUUGGUGAAAACAUCUGCAACCUGAUCUUCUGUUUUGCAGUAGACAAGACUAACAACUCCAUUUUUCUGCACUUCUCUUAAGAAGAAUAAUUUAAUAUUAAAGUGCUUAGUUUUCCCGUGAAACACAGGAUUUUGAGAGAUUGCAAUAGCAGCUUGGUUGUCAACUAGAAUCUCUGUACUUUCCUCCUGCUCCAAGUUAAGAUCAUGAUAACUCUAUAAAAUGAGAGUUAUUAUGACAAUUCUAGACUUAAAUCAAGAUCACUUAGAGAGUAAAUGAUGUGUUUUUAUUGCAUUUUUGUUACAUUUUGCAUAAACAUUCAUUUUAGUUUAGUCUUAAUAAGUUUUGCUUGAUUUAAAGUAAUUCGUGCUCAAAUUGUGUGCAGAAUUGUAGGUUUCCAGAAGCUUAUAAUUCAUGGAAGAAAUGCUGAUGCAAUAGGCUGGCAAAAAAGAGGAAGAACAUGACUAUAAAAGAAUUGAAACAAAUCUGGAACAGUACAGUUGCUGUAGCCGUUGCUGUAGCAAUCCUGGAACAACGACAGAGAAAAUUCCGUGCGGGAUACUUACAGAAUUGCGAUCUGCAGUUUCCUAAUCUGACUUAUGCGUGCCCUAGGCUUCCGUUUACCUUAAUUUUCAACUAUAAAAGAAGCACACAUCAUAAGGAAAAGAGAGAGCCGUCACCCAAGGAGAAAAACACAAAGAAACAAAAGAAAAACAAGAUUCAAGAGAAAGAUUAAGGGCUGCACAAGAGGAGAAUUUGCAUAAAUCAAUUGGGAGCUCAAUCAUUCUUAUUCUUCUCUUGUUUUCAUGUUUUCUAUUUAUUCAUGGGGAUGUGUUUCAUGGCUGAAACUUUGUUCUUUAUUUUUCUUUUGCAAAUCAUGAACUAAAUUUAUUUAUAGUUGAGUGAUAAACAAUCUUGAUGGUUUAUUGACUGGAAAUAUGUGUUGCUGCAUGUUUGCUGUAGCAGUUUGUUUUGAUAGUAUUUAUUUUAUUCGUUAUUUCGGUUGAUCACCCAUUUAAUGAUAAUAGAUAAUGAAGAGUCGUAAAAGGGCCUAUCUUAGUGGAACAUAUCAGAACAAUACUUGAUCUUAAAUUGAGUUUCCCGGAUUGAGUUUUACUUGAGUCCCAAAAGGGCCAUACUUGAUUUAAGAUUAAUGAUGAACUAGACAUAAGGAUUCACCUUGUAGGGUAAAUAGAACCUAAGCGUGUAAUGCUAUAUCUUAUGUUGGCAUAACAACUGAUCACUGUUAGGUUGCAUAUAAAUAUAAGAUAUCCAACAUGUGACAGCUGAGGAUACAUAAGCUGAUCCAUCUUGGCUUCUUCAUAAUUUUUAGGUUCACACACAGCAACAUUGCAUCUUUGGUAAACAUCUGAAAGUGGUCUUGUGCCCCUAAUAGGUCUGUCAUCCACCGUUUCAUUUCCCAAUCUUCAAUGCUUUGAUCUGCUGUGUCCACAACAGGAAACUUGAGUUUUGGCUUUUUUGAGGUUGAAUCCAUCUUCUUUGCAUCAUCCCAAUUCCACUCUUCAUCUUCCAUAAAGUGCACAUCCCUGCUUAUAAUAAUUUUUCCAGUUUGUGGCUGGAAAACUUUAUAAGCUUUUGCAACAGGAAUUUCAUAGUCUUCUUCCACUGCUUCCCAAAGAUCCAAAGCUUCCAAGUAUGUCUCCAUACGUACUGCCCAAAGCUGGUAGUUGUUUCCGUCAAACACCGUCGGAGCAAUUGCGGAGAAACUAGCUUCGGCUUCCAUGACUUGACAAAUUCAAACAUAGAUCCCUUAAGAAGAAAGCUCUGAUACCAGAUGUUGUUACUUGAAUAAGAAAAGAAAACAAAGUUUACAAAUGGAAAUGAAAGCCACGUGAAUUGUCAAGAGAACUUCACUCAAUUCAUUAACUGAAAACAUUACACUUUAAAGCUUAAAUAACACACCAAAGCCAAAUAACAACCCACUAGAAUCAUGGUCCAAAGAUUGUGCCACGAUCACAGCAACUAAGAAGAAUUUGAUCAUGUGAUCUCCAGAUCUGAUACUCAGGAUUCUCAAUUUGUUGUGUAGAUCCAUCAACUCUAGCUAACAAAAUAUUUUCUUCAGGUGCUGAUUUGAUUCCAGUUAUGAAGUCUUCCAGUCGAUUACCUCUAAUCGAAGCUAGAACUUGUGAACGCUAGAGAAGGUAGUUUGAUCGAUCUAGUUUAAUUGGAUUCGUGAAAGAGAAAUUGAUUUGAGUGUGUUGAUUNNNNNNNNNNNNNNNNNNNNNNNNNNNNNNNNNNNNNNNNNNNNNNNNNNNNNNNNNNNNNNNNNNNNNNNNNNNNNNNNNNNNNNNNNNNNNNNNNNNNNNNNNNNNNNNNNNNNNNNNNNNNNNNNNNNNNNNNNNNNNNNNNNNNNNNNNNNNNNNNNNNNNNNNNNNNNNNNNNNNNNNNNNNNNNNNNNNNNNNNNNNNNNNNNNNNNNNNNNNNNNNNNNNNNNNNNNNNNNNNNNNNNNNNNNNNNNNNNNNNNNNNNNNNNNNNNNNNNNNNNNNNNNNNNNNNNNNNNNNNNNNNNNNNNNNNNNNNNNNNNNNNNNNNNNNNNNNNNNNNNNNNNNNNNNNNNNNNNNNNNNNNNNNNNNNNNNNNNNNNNNNNNNNNNNNNNNNNNNNNNNNNNNNNNNNNNNNNNNNNNNNNNNNNNNNNNNNNNNNNNNNNNNNNNNNNNNNNNNNNNNNNNNNNNNNNNNNNNNNNNNNNNNNNNNNNNNNNNNNNNNNNNNNNNNNNNNNNNNNNNNNNNNNNNNNNNNNNNNNNNNNNNNNNNNNNNNNNNNNNNNNNNNNNNNNNNNNNNNNNNNNNNNNNNNNNNNNNNNNNNNNNNNNNNNNNNNNNNNNNNNNNNNNNNNNNNNNNNNNNNNNNNNNNNNNNNNNNNNNNNNNNNNNNNNNNNNNNNNNNNNNNNNNNNNNNNNNNNNNNNNNNNNNNNNNNNNNNNNNNNNNNNNNNNNNNNNNNNNNNNNNNNNNNNNNNNNNNNNNNNNNNNNNNNNNNNNNNNNNNNNNNNNNNNNNNNNNNNNNNNNNNNNNNNNNNNNNNNNNNNNNNNNNNNNNNNNNNNNNNNNNNNNNNNNNNNNNNNNNNNNNNNNNNNNNNNNNNNNNNNNNNNNNNNNNNNNNNNNNNNNNNNNNNNNNNNNNNNNNNNNNNNNNNNNNNNNNNNNNNNNNNNNNNNNNNNNNNNNNNNNNNNNNNNNNNNNNNNNNNNNNNNNNNNNNNNNNNNNNNNNNNNNNNNNNNNNNNNNNNNNNNNNNNNNNNNNNNNNNNNNNNNNNNNNNNNNNNNNNNNNNNNNNNNNNNNNNNNNNNNNNNNNNNNNNNNNNNNNNNNNNNNNNNNNNNNNNNNNNNNNNNNNNNNNNNNNNNNNNNNNNNNNNNNNNNNNNNNNNNNNNNNNNNNNNNNNNNNNNNNNNNNNNNNNNNNNNNNNNNNNNNNNNNNNNNNNNNNNNNNNNNNNNNNNNNNNNNNNNNNNNNNNNNNNNNNNNNNNNNNNNNNNNNNNNNNNNNNNNNNNNNNNNNNNNNNNNNNNNNNNNNNNNNNNNNNNNNNNNNNNNNNNNNNNNNNNNNNNNNNNNNNNNNNNNNAUAUAUAUAUAGCUGUUAAAUAGAUAAUAAGCAUAGAUCUUCACCUUUAGAUGGUUGCAAUAUUGUCUACAAAGUUGAAUAGUUGCACUCCUUUUCUAUUUUUUAUUUGCUGGUACGGCUUCAAUUGGCCUAUCUCCUCUCAUAAUAUUUCUUUCAUUCAUAACUAUUGGAUAAAGAUUAGAAUUUGAUCAAUGAAAAAAAGAUAAACAAUUACCAAUUCUAAUUGAAAUGCCAUUGUAUUUUCUUAAACAUUCCAAAUAUCAUAAUUUUUUUUCCCUCUUACUUAUUUCUGAAGUUAUUUUCUUCCUGUUUCUAAUGUUUCUCUAAUUCUUAAUCCCUUAAUGAUGAGGCGAGAAAGAUUACGAAAGUGAAACUGAUUAAAACUAAAUAUAUAAAUAUUAGAAUCCAAACGUUCCGUGCCCAAAUCCUGUUAAAUAUGAAAUAUACAAAAUUAACAAGUUGAUCAUCAUGUAAAAAUCUUAUUUAACUCCUAGUUUCAUUACAAAAUCGUUCACAAGUUAAUUGAUAUCCGUAGUAGGUGAUAAAAGCUCAAGCUUUUUUAAUAAGGAAAGCUCAAAAGAAUUUCAUAAGAAAUCACAUACCAAUGAAAAUCAAUGCAGGGAAACAAUUGAGCUAUUUUCCUAGAGGGUAUAGCGCUGAUGACAAUCAGAAGAAUCACUUAAUUAACGUAAUGAAAUAGCAACGUAGUUUAGAUCUACAAUGCCACUUGCCACAUGAAAAUGUAUAUAAUCAUAAUUAAUUAGGGAAAAGGACGUUGUAAUGAUCUGAGUGAGUUGUGCAUCAAUGUGGUUGUGAUCAGGUGACGCUCUUCUUUAAUAGUCAAUUCAGCACUUGAGCUACGUUCUCUUAUCCUUUUUUUUUUUUUCACCCACAAUUACUUCACUGAGAUUGGAUCAAUAAUGCCUCAGCGAAUUCAUUAACAGGAAGACUGUAGGAACUGUAAGGUAAAGAAAUUUAUACUAAUACGCUGCAACGGAGAAACAAAUAAAGAUCCCUCUAUAUUCUCAAAAAAGAACUAACACUAUCUUACAUUCAACUGUUGAUGCAACCAUUGGAGUUACAUCAAUAAUUGGAGUAGUCCAGAUAGGAUUGCUAAUGCUCGAAACAAGUGGCUCUUAGAAAGAAUAGACAAUGACCAGUAAUGAACAUAACUCAAUGGGUCCACUUCAAAAAGCAAUUGUUCAAUUUCCAUCAACUUGUUUAAUAGGGUAGAUGUGGGAUGGAGAUUUCUAAAGAUUUUAAAUAAACCUUUAGGUUAAAAAGAUUUUAAAAUUAACAAAAUGUCUUUCUAUUAAUAAUAUUAAAAUUAUUUUUUUAUAAUAUUCAAAAUAAUUUAAACUUUACUUUAUUUAUUGCAAUAUUAUGUGUCUAUUUAUUAUUAAAAUUACUUUAAUAUGAUCAAAUAUAUAUGUAUAAUAAAUUGUAAAAUACAAAAAUAUUUUCUUGCUUGUCAACAAAUAUUUUUUUCCCCGAAAGCCAAAAUAAAAUUAUGUCAAUAUCAAUUCUUUAACAUAACAACCUUAGCUUUCUGAAGUCUAAUACUACUCUUUCCAUGCCCAAAAAUUCAAAAAAUUUUAAUUAAUCCUGUUACUGGGCUUGCGGCAGUUUCGCUAUUGAAGGCAAUUUGAUAUUAAAAUAUUUUUUAAUGAAAAAUUCUUUAAAUUAAACAAAUAAUUUAUCAUGAUUGGUCCUACGAUAAGCAGAUACACAAUCACUCUAAAUUGUAGUUUUGCAUCAUAUAUAUAUUUCGUAUAUUAACAAAAUUGAGGCUAAAUAAAUUUUGUCAAAUGAAAUUAACAAGAUAUUAAAUCAAAUAAAAUAUCUACAUGCCUCAAUAAAAUAUAUAAAUGAUAUGCCCAUAAGAUUCAAUAAAUGAUGGAUUAUUUUAAAAUUUAAAAUUCUGAAAAAUCGCCAAAAUUGAAAGGAUUUUGGACUAAAAUGACUGCUGUACCGUACAUCCGCCUUGGCCGUACAGCAGAAUAAUGCCUCAGUGAAUUCAUUAACAGGAAGACUGUAUGAACUGUAAGGUAAAGAAAUUUAUACUAAUACGCUGCAACGGAGAGACAAAUAAAGAAAUUCUCAAAAAAGAACUAACACUAUCUUACAUUCAACUGUUGAUGCAACCAUUGGAGUUACAUCAAUAAUUGGAGUAGUCCAGAUAGGAUUGCUAAUGCUCGAAACAAGUGGCUCUUAGAAAGAAUAGACAAUGACCAGUAAUGAACAUAACUCAAUGGGUCCACUUCAAAAAGCAAUUGUUCAAUUUCCAUCAACUUGUUUAAUAGGGUAGAUGUGGGAUGGAGAUUUCUAAAGAUUUUAAAUAAACCUUUAGGUUAAAAAGAUUUUAAAAUUAACAAAAUGUCUUUCUAUUAAUAAUAUUAAAAUUAUUUUUUUAUAAUAUUCAAAAUAAUUUAAACUUUACUUUAUUUAUUGCAAUAUUAUGUGUCUAUUUAUUAUUAAAAUUACUUUAAUAUGAUCAAAUAUAUAUGUAUAAUAAAUUGUAAAAUACAAAAAUAUUUUCUUGCUUGUCAACAAAUAUUUUUUUCCUCCAAAGCCAAAAUAAAAUUAUGUCAAUAUCAAUUCUUUAACAUAACAACCUUAGCUUUCUGAAGUCUAAUACUACUCUUUCCAUGCCCAAAAAUUCAAAAAAUUUUAAUUAAUCCUGUUACUGGGCUUGCGGCAGUUUCGCUAUUGAAGGCAAUUUGAUAUUAAAAUAUUUUUUAAUGAAAAAUUCUUUAAAUUAAAAAAGAAACAAUCGAUUUAACCACCAUCAAUCAUGUCGUGGUAGUAAUUAAAAUAAGAUAAAGGUUGGAUAUCUAUUGGAUACCUCUUCUUUUCAAAAGGCAAGCGUCUUGGACUUUUCGCUAAAUGAACGCGUAUCAGUUUUUUGAGUUAAAAAUGAGCAAUAAUGCCGUAUUUGUGGAAUUUAGCCACUUCGCCAGUUCCUUGGCAUCUUCCUUUCAAAUUCUCCCAUGGCGUUUAAUUUUACACCAGUAACCACUUUGAGAUAGAACCAAUCCUUUUAAUAUUUCUUGGAGCAAAAAACAAUACCUCUGGGUGCUACAGAGAGAAGGAGAUAUGCUGGACGUCCACCUCCGACUGUUUUGUGAGAGGUUGAAAAGGGUGUUAGCAGGUGAAGAAGGCAUGUUAACGUGGCCUGAUUCAACAAAUUUAACUCCACGUUUUCAAAACCUUCUUACGGAGUCCGAAAUUAUUGCUACUACUCUGUUGGGAAACUAUGAAGCUGACAUGGCUCGUCGUGUGAUUCAACGCAUCCUUAGAGACCUACCCGAUAAAAACGAAAUAGCUUUGUAUUUUCUGCAACUGUUGGACUUAGAAGAAAGCGAUGAAGACAGCGAGGAAGACAUUUUGGAAAUUCUGGAGGACAUCAAUCACCAUGUCAAUGAAUCUGAGGAAGCCAUUGACUCAUUCUUUAUCAACAUCAUGCAUCAGCAGAACAGUGAAAACGAAAGUGAAAGCAGUACUUGUAUGGCUAUUCUUGUUGGACUCCACAGUAAAAUCAUUGCUAUUAGAAAUCGGAUGCAACAACUUCCACCCGGCAACAAUGGUUUUGAUAUCAGUGAACAAAGGGAAAAACUCAUUCACUUAUUGACUGACGGACAACCUCGGCUUGAUAUCAAUGAAUUUGAAAGGGGCAGAGAGGAGUUGUUUGAUUUAUUGAUUGAAGGACAUCCUCGGCUUGCAGUGGGGCAGAGAGGAGUUGUUUGAUUUUGUUUGAUUUAUUGAUUGAAGGACAUCCUCGGCUUGCAGUGGUUGCAAUUGCCGACAGCAGUGGCUUCGAUAAGACUGCUUUUGCUGCUGAUACUUAUAACAAUAAUCAUGUCAAGUUCUAUUUUGACUGUCUUGCUUGGGUCAGGGUUUCUGUAUUCUACCAUUUUGGCAAGAUAUUGGAUGACAUAAUCAAGUCUGUUAUGCCUCCAUCUCGGGUUAGUGUAAUUAUCGGGGAAGAUUAUCAAUUGAAGAAAUCUAUUCUUCGAGAUUACCUAACAAACAGGAAGUACUUUAUUGUGCUUGAUGAUGUCUUCGAUGACAGUGAGAUAUGGAGUGAUCUUGAAGAAGUUCUUCCUGAUAAUCAGAAUGGAAGCAGAGUAUUGAUAUUGGUCACUGAUCCACACCUCCUUACGCUGUCGGAAAUGGAAAACGGAGAGAAGAUUCGGCUUGAUUCGGUGCUCAUUGGAGGACCAUUGAUCAGAUUAAAGCAUGAAGCCUGGCAAUUUUUCAUCCUACACUAUGGAAGUAUGCCCUUAGAAAAUUAUCUUCAAGGCGAAACGAUUCCGACAAUUUUGAGUCGAAUUUGUUCUGUGUUGGAGUUACCUUUUCACUUGAAAAUCUGCUGCAUUUAUUUGUGUGUUUUCCCUCCAAGUAUUGAGAUAUCUACUAGGCAAUUAUAUCAGUUGUGGGAAGCUGAAGGUUUCAUACCAUACAACAGUGAGGAAACUGCAGAACAUCACUUAAAAGAACUAAUCCGUCGCGGCUUCAUUCAAGUGAGUAAGAGAAGAGCCGGAGGCACAAUUAAAUCGUGUUAUUUUCCAAGUAUUGUAGAUACUUCAUUGUUUUUGGUGGCAGAGAAGACGGAAUUUGUCUGGUCGCCUGACAUGGUAGAGGAACCAAUGGCAAAUGUUAAACGGUGCUUCAUUUUGAAAGAUCUGAUUGACUUCUUUCCUUCAGAAUAUUCUGACAUGUAUCUCCAAUCUUUUCUCAAUCACAGUUCAGAAAGCGAUCGUCUCGCUCGGAUAGAUUGCGAGAAUUUUUGUAAAAAGUUCAAAUACCUUCGGGUAUUGGACUUGGGUUCUGCAGUUCUCGACCAAUUUCCACCCGGAUUAGAAAAUUUAUUCCUUUUGAAGUAUUUGAAAUUGAAUAUCCCUUCGCUCAAAUGCCUUCCUUCGCAGCUAUGCACCCUUUUAAACCUUCAAACACUACAAAUGCCAUCUAGCUACAUAGAUCAGUCACCAGAGGAUAUUUGGAUGAUGCAAAAACUCAUGCAACUAAACUUCGGUUCCAUCACUCUGCCUGCACCUCCAACAAAUUAUUCCAGCUCUUUGAAGAAUCUUAUUUUCAUAUCAGCCUUACACCCUAUUAGUUGCACUCCAGAUAUAUUGGGCAGAUUACCAAAUAUUCAAACUCUUAGAAUAUCUGGAGAUUUGAGUUAUGAUCAAUCUAGGGUUUCCAAAAGCCUAUGCGAACUACAAAAACUUGAAUGGUUGAAGCUGGUGAAUGAAAGCAAGCCCUCACGAAUGGUCCUGUCUGAAUACCAGUUUCCUCCAAGUCUGACCCAUCUGAGCUUAUCAAAUACUGAGCUAAAGGAGGAUCCCAUGCCAACGCUAGAAAAGCUUCCAUACGUUCAAGUGCUGAAACUGAAGCAGAACUCCUAUUUAGGAAGAAAGCUGGCCUGCGUUGGCUCUGGUGGCUUUCCGGAACUUAAGGUUUUGCACCUGAAAUCAAUGUAUUGGCUAGAUGAGUGGACGAUGGGGGCUGGAGCAAUUCCAAAACUUGAAAGCUUAAUUGUCGACCCAUGUGCUUACUUGAGAAAGCUUCCAGAAGAGCUGUGGUGCAUACAGAGCUUGCGCAAAUUGGAUUUACAUUGGCCUCAGACAGAGUUGAGACAAAGACUACGGACUUUCGAGGAUAUGGAGUGGCGGUAUGACAUCCAGUUAUAUCCUUAUGGAAUCUGAUGGAUUGAAUUGGGUGAGUUUUAAUCUUAUCAGACAACUCAUUCUUUUAUAUGCAAUUUUUUUUUAUGUUUAUCGUAAAACCUACAAGGAGGUCAUAAAAAUGCCAAACUAAUUGAGGUUGCUUCUGAUGUCAAAAUUAUGUCUCAACAUAGACUCAGUUUGACUGGCAAAACAGAGUGGGAUAGCCACACAUUGCAGCAGAGAAACAAAGAAAGAUCCCUUUAUAUAUAUCUAAUAAGAACUGUAAAAGCAGAUUUUAAUUUGUGAUUCUUAUUUCCCUUUACUUAUGUAGGCAAAACUGGAGAGGGAAACAACACCAGCCGGACUUUCAAUUUCAUGAGACGGGGCAUUGUUCUAUUUAGCAGAUUUCAAGGAUUUGCUUUAAUAUGCCAUGGUUGCAAUAUUGUCUAGAAACUUGAAUAGUUGCACUCCUUUUUCUAUUUUGAAUUUGCUGGUAUGUUUGUAGGGGCGUGUGCGUGUGUGUUGAGUUUUGAUUAAUGUAUUAUGCUUCGAUGUACUCCAUUUAAGCCCCGGACUUGCCGGUAUGGUUUGGAUAGCUUUGGAUUUGCAUGGUUUGCUAGUUAGAGAAAUGGUUUGCUAGUUAUAGAAAUAUCAAUCUUACUAGGAAAACUACCUCAUGCGUGUACGUUUCUGGCUUCAUUUUAGUUGCUGAUUGCACCUUCAAUUACAUUAGAGUAUAUGGAGUAAAAAAAAAAAGUUAAAUUAUUGGCUGAUUUUUAAGAUACUUUCAAGUUUGGCCCAUACCUCAAUUGUCAGAAAGUAUAUGGAGUAAAAAAAAAAAGGUUGGGUGUAAAUAAGUGAUAUACAGAUGUAAGGCUUCUUUGAUCACAUUUGAAGUUAAUUACAAGCAUAUCUCUUGAUAUUUAAGUAAAUAAAAAAAAUAGAAUAUUGGCUGUUGAAUAGAUAAUAAGCAUAGAUCUUGACUUUUGAAUUAAUUACAAAAAUUUUAGUGAACAGAAGAAAUCCAUUUGUUCCACCGAUUACAUUGAGGAUUUUAAUGAAUCCCAAUCUUAGGUAACAUGCUAAUGCUAACAGUAAUGGCAAGAUAUCAAAUGUCGGAGAUAAGAGACUAUUAGCUUUAAGCGAACCAACAGAGAUUGACAAGUUAGAAAUAACUUGCUAAGUUGAGAAAUACGCCUGACAAAUAAUAUGAUUUUCCCAAAUAAAUUAGGUUUUAAUUUAACAAGUUUUCAUUUACAAAUGCAUUUUAAUCCAAUGAUUUAUCACAAUGUCCCACCAAACUGAACAAAGAAAGAAAGAUAUAAUACAAUUACAAGUUUCCUAAUUAAGCUAUAUGAUUAUGAAUUAAAGCGAAUACUAUUGACUUGACGAACCACUUUUUGUGUUUCUUUAUAAGUACGUAUAUGUACCAACAAAAUUCUUCUUAAAACAAAAAAAAAAUUCUCUCUUUAAAUUUGUAAAUAUUCAUUUACCAAUAAAUUAAUAAAUUAUUCAUUCAAUAAUAAAUAAAUACUCCUCUAAAAUAAUAUCUUUUCGUAGUCCUAAUAAUAUUAUUUUAUAGAUACUUUCUACAUUUAUUGUGCAAUAAUUAAAAAAAUUUAUAUUUUUUAAAAAUAUAAUUACAAUCCAGAUACAUAUAUAUUUAUAAUACAACUCUGAAAUAUAUCAAGACUAGUUAGAAAAUCUACUUCCACUAAUAAUAUUAUUAAGGAGAAAUUAGCCCUAUUCCACGUUUUUACAAUUUGAUUUAAUAUAAAUUUUGUUCAAGAAAUUUAUCUUUUUUAAGAAAAUAUUUGAUUAACAAAUUAUUAUUAUUAUAGCGAAAAUAAAAAAGCAGCGGCAGAAGAAGGCUCUAACAACAAAAUGAAACAUUUACAUUUUUCAUUUCCCAAAACCCUUCGCUCUCUCACUCAGGACACUCACUGAUGCGCAAGCAAUGGCUCGCACUGCCAUCCUCUGCCUCCGCUGGUCAUUACCGGCCAUCGUUGCUCUUCGCCGCUCUCUCUCUGCGGCCGUCCCUGCACUCUCCGCAUCCACUCCUCUCGUAAACCCCUCCAUUUCAUCGGCAUCGUCAUCAGUAAUCUCCUCCUCCUCCUCCUCCAUCAUCCAAUCUCGACUGUGGUUUAUCAACUUCAGGUACAUGUACCUUGAUGUAUGUACCAUCUAAUGCCCUAAAGCAAUUCUAUUAAUCGAUUCAAACAAAAAAAAAUUAUAAUAUAAAAUGGCAAGCUCUCUUUAUUAGAAGAGAAAAUAAAAAUCAAGAAUUUAAGCAUGUCAUUCCUUAAAUCAUUUCCAUCUCUCUCGUCAGUGCAGUUUUACUUACAGGGUCAGGUGUUCUUAAUAAGAUAUUUUCCAAUUGUAAAACUGCAUUUAAGACCAAGUUGAAGUAUCUACUAAUUGUCUCCCCCAAACAUAGAAAUCUACUAUGAAUUGUUCUGUUUUUUUACAUGAUGGGCAAGUAUAUGUAGAAACAUGCAUACUUGUUCCUCAACAGAGACUAUACCAUCAGCCUUCAACCCCCAUUUAUACGAAGUAGCUCACAUAAUAAUUCGAAUGUUCUCUUAUCCAUCAUAGUUGAUUCACAUAUUCUAUGUCACUGCCUAAGAUAAUUUCUAUAUAAAUGAGGCGUGUUGCAUGCCUAAUGAAUGUGCGAUUUGCAACUGUAUAUUUUUUGUUUUGUCGACUUUUGUGUUGCCAAAGUACAGCAGCCAAUACACACAAGCACAAUUGUUGUAAACGGAACUCGUGUAUAAGAGAGAACAAUGUAAUUUCUCUUUCAUCCAUAUCCAGUCAUUGAAGGUAUACGGUGUGAGCAUAUCAUAUGAAUAUUAAAGUAAGUGAAGUAAAUAUCAACAUAAAGAAUUAUGAUAACUGGACAGAUAAAGAACUCAUUGAGAUACAUUUCAUGUGAACAAGUUAUUAGCUCAGUUCCAAGAAACUUAUAAAGCAACAGUUUUCUUUUCAAAAUAUUUAAGUCUUAUCAACAUAAGAGACAAAGUUUAAUUAUUGUAUUCUUAAAAGCAUAAUGAUAAAGUUCUAUUUAAUAGCUAGAAAUAAAGUAAAUUCACUAUAGACAAGAACAAAUUUCUAGAAUUGCUACCUUUUUUUUCAAAUAAAAGAAAUUCACUAAAGAACAAAAUGACGAGAUCCAACUUUAACCAAAAAGCAAAUCACAUAAGCUAACUAAGAAUCUGCACCAUAUGGCUAGAAAUUGACAGCUGGGUUUGCUAGCUUAUUAACAAUGCCAUUACCGUAUCCCAAAAAAUAAAAGAAAUUCUACAUAAAUGUCUCUUUUCAAUUCAUCCCGAGUUUUAGUCAAAACCCAAAAAAUUUCCUUCAUGAAGCUACUCUUUCCAAUGAACAAAUCCAUAAAAUAGUUCACUCAACACAAACAAUUAACCCUUUCCAAAAAAAAAAACACAAACAAUUAACAAAAUUGAUUUAUAACAUGAAAAUUAAAAUAGACAAUAAGAAACACUCAACUGCCAUAUAAAACAUGAAAAUUUCAUCCUAUUAAAUAAUUACAACAAAUAAAUAAACAAAUAAACUUAAUUGAAUUUUUUAGUCAAGAUUUGAGGAGAUUCACUGCAUGAACAAAGGAGAUGGAGAGAAAUUUUAGGGCUUUUUUUUUGGGUGAAAGCCCAUUUAGUCCAUGUAUUUUAAGAUUAGUGACCAUUUAGUCCUUUUAUUUUUAAAAAUGUCUCGAAACAUCCCUGCUGUUAAAGUAUUAAUACCCCUACCGUUACUUUUUAUUUCUUUUGGCUUACUUUUACAAUAUUAACCUUUUAUAAUAAUUUUUUUGUUUGGACAUUAAUAAAAAGAAAAUAAUUAAAUUACCAAAUUAACCAUAAAAAUGAAAAUUAAAAAUUUAUAUUAAUUUUUAACUGUCAAAAAUUGCAUGCAAACUACCAAGUGUGCAAAUGGUGCUUGCAAAAAAAUUAAUAUAAAUUUUAUUUUUUAUUUUUAGGGUUAAAUUAGUAAUUUAAUUUUUUUAUUAAUGUCCGAAAAAAUUAUUAUAAAAGGGUAAUAUUAUAAAAGUAAGUCAAAAGAAAUAAAAAGUAACAGUAGGGAUAUAAAUACUUUAACGAAAGGGAUGUUUUGAGGCAUUUUUAAAAAUAUAGGGACUAAAUAGACACUAAUAUUAAAAUAAAAUGACUAAAUAAACUUUUACCCUACUUUUUUUUUAAUCCUGUGAAUAGCCUAUGGCUAAAUUUUAGAUUAUCCCACGCCCCCUGGUUAUAAAAAUUAAAGUAGUGACAGUUAUAAUGCAUCUUCGCUUUAACAAUUGUGAGUAUGGGUUGUAAAUUUGCUUUCUAUCUAAUUAUGCUUUUGGCAUAUGCGCCUAAAUAUACACGUCAGGAAAUUGAAUUGUAUGUUUUUUACAAUAACUCUUUUUUUUUUUUUUGAAGGGAAAGUAAAGCUUUCCAUUAAACUGACUUUGAAAACAACAGCAAAAUAUUGUAUGGAAAAUUUUCCAGCCACAGAGCAGGUCUUUCAAAACUUAAAGCUAAUUUAGCUAAUGAAUCAACUAAAGCAUUACAAGCUCUCGGGACAUAUUGAAUUCUCGAGGGAUUUUGGUUUUUUGAAAACAACUGAAUGUCAGCAAUUGUCCAGGCUAUCUCUGUUAAGCUACCCUUUCUGUUGAUAGAUAGCUCCACCACCUCUGAUGAAUCUGAUUCAAUAAUCAUAGGCCUACAGUUUACUUGAAAAGCAUUUUGAAUACCAAAGAGGACAGCCUCAGCCUCCAUAUCAACCACAGAACCCUCAUAUAGAACUCUCUUAACAGCUGCAGCUAUGAUCUUUCCCCUGGAAUUCCUUAUCACUACCCCCAGACCCGCCUGCUGGGCUGAAGUAUUUAUUGCAGCAUCCACAUUCACUUUGUACCAACCUUCUGGGGGGCCCAUCCAAGUCUGAAUCUUUUUCCUGGGAGUCUUUAAGGUAGCUUGAUCCUUCGAGCAUUUUAUCCUCUUGUACGAUUCCACUAUGGCUUCUGCUCUUGCAACUGGUAAGAGGGGGUCCUCUUGUUUCCCCUUAAAAAUUUGGAUAUUUCUUGAAUGCUAGAUAGCCCAACAGAUUGCAGCUACCAUCUCCCUGCCUUCUUUGCUUCUUUUCAAAGCUACUUCUUGGAUCAUGCUUAAGAUAUCUUGUUGAGCCAUCAUCUUUAUAUCUUCGUAAAAUUCUGUCUUUUUCCAAACUCUUCUAGUAGCCUUACAUUCCAGUAAAGCAUGGACCACAUCUUCUCUCCUACACCCACAUCUUACGCACACUGGCUCCACCACAAUUUUCCUUUUCCAUAAGUUACUUGCUGUUGGCAGCAGAUUUUUGAUAGCCUUCCACAUAAAUAUUUUCACCUUUUCUGGAAGCUCGUCGGACCAAAAGACAUCCCAUCGUGAUUUGGAGCUAUCAGAACAACUUGGGACUUCUUUGAAUUUUUCCUUCACAUCUAUUUGGUAACCACUCAUAGCUGAGUAUUUCCCAUGCUUAUCAAACCGCCAUAUUAGAGCAUCUGGUUGAGGAGUUCCUCGGGAGAGGUAGUUUUAAAAUUUCUGCUGAAAUGUCCUCUGAGAAACUUUGAGCUAUUAGAUCUCCAUUCCAUUGCUGGCCAUCCUUUAUCAGAUCCGCCACAACAGCUUCAGGAUGUAGACUUGACCAAGGGACUAGUCUGAAAACACUAUUCUGAAUCCAAUUUUUGUUGUGCACUGAGAUUUGCUUCCCGUUCCCAAUCCUCCACCUCAAUCCCUCUUUUAGCAGUUGGGGAAGCACCGCUUGAGCCACCGCUUUUAUAAGAACUUCCUUCCCCCCACUGGAAAAAUAUUGUCUCUGCCAGCUAGAUAAUUUGCUCAACACUCGUAGCUUUAUGUCAUUAAAGAACCUAGUUUUUGCUCUCUCCACCAUAAAAGGAAGUCCAAGAUAUUUCUUAUGCUUGGACACUACAGCCAAAUCAAAAAUGCUGCUUAUUUCCUCCCUCAGCUGCUGACUUGUGCUAGAACUGAAAAACAUAGAGGACUUUUCAUAAUUGAAAAUCUACCUUGAGGCUACAGUGUAACAGUCAAAAACUUUCUUUAGCUCUCUGCGCUCAGCAUUAGAAGCUCUUAUGAACACUAGGCUGUCAUCUGCGAACAAAAGAUGAGUGACCAAAAUCUCUCUUCUGAAUUUCAAACCGUGAAAGAGGUUUUGACCUUCUGCUCUUACCAGUAAAUUUGAGAAUACUUCAGCACACAUAAUGAACAGGUAUGGCGAAAGCGGACAUUCUUGUCUUAAUCCACGUUGAGGAUGGAUGAGACCUUUUGCCAAUUCAUUUAUCAAGACUGAAAAGCUAGCUGUGGAUAUGCAAUUCAUAACCAAAUUCACCCACCUCACCGAAAAACCUAGCUUUUCCAUUGUUCCUUUAACAAAACUCUACUCCACCCUGUCAUAGGCCUUACUAAUGUCUAAUUUCAGAGCUAUCAAUCCAUUUCUGUCUAAUUUUGUUUAGACACUCAUAUCUUAUGAUUAUGUUAUCAGUUAUGAGCCUAUUAGGAAAUAAAGCACUUUGAUUGGGAGAUAUAAUAUCAUUCAGAACUAUUAGCUAUUGUUUUUCGACAAUUCUGUAAAUGACAUUACAAAGACUAAUUGGUCUUAACUCUGUCACUUUCCUAAGCUUUGACACUUUCGGGACUAAAGCAAUAAAAGUUUGGUUCAAAAGAGUAAGAUUACCUCCCUCAUUUAGGAUGUGCAGACAUGUUGAAACCACCCCCUCAUUGACAGAGCUCCAAUGCUUUUGGAAGAAGGCCACCGGAAGACCAUCUGGACCUGGUGCCUUUGUGGGACAGAUGGGCUUGAUGUGGUGAAAAUAUUUGUAAAAUAUUUUCACUACCUCGACAUCUUCAAUCCAAUCACCAUUUUCGUCUUCAAUGCCAUGGAUUCUGUUUUUUUUUUCCUCCUAGCCGAAGCCUUUGUAUGGAAAUAUUUUGUGUUCCUAUCACCCUCUUUCAGCCAAUCCACUCUCGAUCUUUGCUUCCAAAAAAUUUCUUCAUCAGCUAGAAUAUUAUCUAUCUAAUUUUCAACUCGUUUUAAUUCAUCUCCACUUUCAAAAUGAUAGUAAUCUUUUUUCAUGCUUUCCAGCUUGUUAACAAGUUUCUCCAGCUUCUUUUUCCUUCCAUUAAAUUCUCCAUUGCUCCAAAGUUUCAGCUCAGCCAAGGUUUCUUUCGAUUUUUUCAUGAAGAUUUCAGCCGGGUUGCUACUAUUCCAGCAACAUUGCUCCUUCCAUUCAUGCUUCACAAUUGUCUUGCACUUCUCGUACGGGCUCCACAUAUCUUCAUAAUGGAGCCUAGGAUAUGUUCUCUUCAUGUAGCCCUUGCCCCUGCCUUUCUCCAGCACUUCCAUCAUAAUCGAAAUGUGGUUCGAACUCCACGAAGUCAAAUUCGAAGCUACCUUUUCCUAAUAAAAGCUUCCCCAUUUUCUGUUGCACAAGAAUCUAUCGAGUUUCUCUUCGAUUAUGUGAGGCCCAAACCUCCUAUUUGAUCAAGUGAAAGGGUAUCCGCUACUUCCCAAAUCUUUCAAAUCACAGUCCCUCAUUGCUCUCCUAAACUCAUUCACCUCAUUUACCCGUUUCUCAUUUCCCCCAAUCUUCUCAUUUAAGUUCAACAUUUCAUUAAAAUCCCCAAAACACAGCCAUGGUAAUGAAGACAACUUUGUUAUCCUUCUCAACAGCUCCCAAGUGUGUUUUUUUUGUCAGAUUCAGGAUGUCCGUAAACCCCCGUGCACAUCCAAUAGCUUCCAUUUUCGCUAUGCACCACGGCAUCAACAUGGUGUUUACUGUAAGACUUGAUAUCAAUUGUAACCUCUUCAUUCCACAAUAAAGCCAAACCGCCCCCCCAAACCUUCUCUAUUAACUGCAAAGUAGUUUUGAUACCUCAACCUUUUUGCUUUCUCUUGCAUUUGCUUAACCUUCAAUUUAGUUUCAUAGAUGAACAUAAUUUCAGGCCUAUGCUCACACAAGAGUUGCUGGGCUUCUCAGAACGUUCGGUCAUUUCUCAGCCCCUGAACGUUCCAGCUAACGAUUUUCAUGGCUGUCAGCGAGGCUGUUUCACAGCCACCGCCGAUUUCUCAUUUCCAGCAUUCUCAAACUCCCCCUUGUCUUCCUCUUCCACAUUUUCAAAGCUGAGCCCCUUUGUUGCCAAGGCUUUUCCAAACCGUUGGUUGCUCCCCAUUUUUUGUGGGCUGUUCCCUUUGCACUUUUUUGGUUUUGGGCUUUCCCAGUUCAUUGAGCUUCUCAACCUUUUUAAUCCCAAAACUUCUUCAUUUGUUUCUAUAUUCCCUUCCACGUUGCGGGCUUGAAAUUUCCACGUUGCGGGCUUGAAAUUUCCACUUCUUUUUCUAUAUUCCCUUCCACGUUGCGGGCUUGAAAUUUCCACUUCUUUUUCUUGGGCUUUGAUUUAUCCAUUCUGAGCCCAUUCUCUCUAUUCUCCACUUCUGAUUUCGUUUGGAGUGAACACGUAUACAUGUUGAGCUUGUGGCCCCCCUCUUCUAUACUGCCUUUCCUUCCAUUUUCUUCUUGCUCCCCUUUUCCCGCUCUAUAUAAGCCCGCAUUUUGCAUUUUUACUGACUUUUUAUGUUGGAGGUUCGCUUCCCACUCUUUUUCUUUUCCAUCUAUAGUUCUUGCCUCCUUGUCCAUCUCCCACAGCACUGCACCUCCAUCUGCUUGAUUUUUACUGACAUUACAGCUGGCCGCUGGCUCUGCAGUCUUUUUUGCCUCUUUCAUUAAUUGUUCCCCAGUUCCCAAUUGAUCCCUGCUCCUCGUUCCACUCAAACUCCCCAUACCUGAAUCCAAUUCGGGCCUAUUGAGUCCAUAUUCUAUUUCAUGAACCCCUCCGUUUUGUUGGUCUUUCUCCAUCAUAUCAUUUUCUCCAGCCCUUUUAUUGGAUCUAAAGCAUUUGGAGGAUUGUUUCUGAAAUCUGAAUCCCAUCUAUCUUUCCUUCUACCCUGUUUCAAUUUCUCAGUAAUCGUGAGUGCCUUAAGCCAUGGACCAUACGGCAUUUCAUCCUUGGACUGAGAUUUAUAGUGGACACACUCUCUGUAUUAGUGACCUAUCCGCCCGCAACAGAAACAAAAAUCCAGCAGUCUUUCGUACAUGACCCGCAUAGGAAUGUCUUCCUCAUCCUCCCCUUUUUGCUCUAGCUCAAUUAGUUUCUUUAAAGGCUUCGUGACAUCCACAGAAAUUCUCAACCUCAAAAAUUGUCCAAAGCAUUCCCCAGUUGCAUCUGUUUCAAUUUCUUCAACUUUUCCAAUGACAUUUCCUAGCUCCAAUGCCAUCUCCUUUGACAUACACAUGAUGGGGAUAUUGUGUAUCUGCACCCAGAAUGAUACGUGAUUGAAUUUCUACUUCUUUACAUCACCAAUUCCCGCUGGUUCGGUGAGCACAAUGAGUGCUCUGUCAAAAUGCCAAGGGCCACCCGCCUCAGUUCCAAACUUAAACAUGAACACAUUAUCACCCAGAUCUUCUAUCUUUACUUCGCGUGAGGUUCUCCAUUCCCUUUGCAUAACAGACUUCAACCCCUCAAUACUGACUCCCCUCGUAUGCAGAACUUUCCCGAUCAAACACCCCGCAACUAUUUUUUCCCCAAUGGCCUUCAUUUGACUCUUGAAAGAAACUCUUCCCUCCUCUUCAUCACUCAACUUUAUCGCUCUACAUCUUCUGAUUAGCUCCUCUGGGUCCAUCCUCUCUAACUCACAGACUUGCAGGCUAGAAAGGAUUAGCUGGGAGCUUGGAGCCUUUAAGGAUUUGACUUUUGAAAGAGAAUUUCACCAACUACUCAACACUCUUUCACAGAUUGACUGACCUAAAUCCCGUACAUCAUUAAAUAAUGAAAGUGAUAAAAACAAUAGGAAGAAAACCCACCCCCAUCAGAGUGACUUAAAGGAGCCAUGACACCUCUAUUUUUCCUCUCAUCGUUGUAAGUUUUCAGAGAAAACUCAUAAGGAGAGAGACUGACAACUCAAACCUUAGUUCACAACAACUCUUAAAUACAUGGAUCCAUAUCUUUCUAUUUUCAAAAUGGUUGUGGAAAAGUAAAACUGUGUUACUCUCUCUUGGCAUUGGGCUAAUUCUCCGUGAGAAUCUUGAAAUAAAGUUAACUUUUAUAACUAGAGGGAGGACCAACUUCUUUUAUAAUUAAAAUAUUUAAUGUAAUAAAAUGUAUAAAUAUAUCUAAUAUGGGCUUAAUAAGAAUUCAUGUGCGACAUUAAAGGUAUGCUUGGUACCAUUUUUUGGUAAACCUUUUUUUUUUUUCAUUUUAUGACAAUACAAAAAUGUAAAACUCAUUUGGUGGAUGCAAAAAAUAUAAAAUUGAAUAGUUAUUGGUUUUUACUUUUUUUUCAUAAAGGUAAAAAACAUUAAAUUGAGGUUCUUUUAUCAUAUUUCUCAUUGAAUUCCCUCAAAAGUGAAAUAAAUCAUUAGAAAAAGGAGACAUACAUCCUUAAAAUUUGAAAAUUUUGUUAUGCAAACUCUUAAAUAUAAUAUAAUACCCUUUGGAUAUAGAAACUAGAAAAUUGACUUUAAAAGGUUUUAAUAAACUUUGCUGCUGUACGGCCAAGGCGGAUGUACGGUACAGCAGUUUAAUUUUAUAUUUAUAUUUAUUUUAAAGAUUUUAAAUAAAUCUUUGGAUUAAAAAGAUUUUACAAUUAGCAAAAUAUCUUCCUAUCAAUAAUAUUAAAAUUAUUUAUUGAUAAUAUUCCAAAUAAUUUAAAUUUAUUUAUUGUAAUAUUAUGUUUCUAUUUAUUAUUAAAAUUACUUUAAUAUGAUAAAAUAUGCAUCGCAGAUUCUAAAGUAUAAAAAUAUUUUCUUUGCUUGUCAACAAAUGUUUUUUUCCUGAAAACCAAAAUAAAAUUAGAGUGAUAAUAGAGCUACAAACUCUUGUACAAACUUAUUUCGUACAAACUGAUGCGUCAUUAAUUCAUUGGUUGAAUGAAAAUAUAAAAUAAUAGAAAUAAAUCAUGUGGGCCAAGAGAUAUUUAAUUCAACCAAUGAAUUAACGGCAUAUCAGUUUGUACAAAAUAAGUUUGUAUAAGAGUUUGUGGCUAUAUCAUUACUCAUAAAAUUAUGUCAACAUCAAUUCUUCAACACAGCAACAUUUGCUACCCUGCUUUAUGUUUAAUACUACUCUUUCCAUGCCCAAAAAUUCAAAAAUUUUUAAUGGGUCUUGUUACUGGGCUUCUGGCAGUAAUAACAUUGAAGGCAUUUUGAUUUUAAAUUUCUUUUAAAAGAAAAAUUCUUUAAAUUAAAAAAAAGAAAAGAAAAGAAAAAAUUGAUUUAAGAUGAAGGUUGGAUCCCUAUUCUUUUCAGAAGGCACGCGUCUCGAAGAACAUGUAUCACGUGUCUAAGAGAAAAAUGAGCAAUAAUGCCGUAUUUGCGGAAUUUAGCCACUUCGCCAGUUUCUUGGCAUCUUCCUUGCAAAUUCUUCCAUAGUGUUUAAUUUUCCAUAGUGUUUUAAUAUUCAACAUUUCUUGAAGCAAAUAACAAUACAUCUGGGUGCUACAGACAGAAGGAGAUAUGCUGGACGUCCACCUCCGACUAUUUUGUGAGAGGUUGAAAAGGGUGUUAGCUGGUGAAGAAGGCACGUUGACGUUGCGUGAUUCAACAAAUUUAGCCAUCUAGCUACAUAGAUCAUUCACCAGAUGAUAUUUGGAGGAUGCAAAAACUCAUGUAUCUAAACUUCGGUUUCAUCAAUCUGCCCGCACCUCAAAAAAAUUAUUGCAGCUCUCUGAAAAAUCUCAUUUUCUUAUCAGCCUUACACCCUAGCAGUUGCACUCCAGCUAUAUUGGGCAGACUACCAAUUGUCCAAAGUCUAAGAAUAUCUGGAGAUUUGAGUUACUAUCAAUCUGGGGUUUCCAAAAGCCUAUGCGAACUGCACAAACUUGAAUGCUUGAAGCUGGUGAAUGGGAGCAAGCGCUCACGGAUUGUCCUGACUGAAUACCAACUUCCUCCAAGUCUGAGCCAUACGAGCAUAUCGAACACUGAGCUAAUUGAGGAUCCCAUGCCAAUGCUGGAAAAGCUUCCACGCCUUCAAGUGCUGAAACUGAAGCAGAACUCGUAUUUAGGAAGAAAGCUGGCCUGCGUUGGCUCUGGUGGCUUUCCGGAACUUAAGAUUUUGCACCUGAAGUCAAUGUAUUGGCUAGACGAGUGGACGAUGGGGGCAGGAGCAAUGCCAAAACUUGAAACCUUAAUUGUCAACCCAUGUGCUUACUUGAGAAAGCUUCCAGAAGAGCUAUGGUGCAUAAAGAGCUUGUGCAAAUUGGAUUUACAUUGGCCUCAGACAGAGUUGAGACAAAGACUACGGACUUUCGAGGAUAUGGAGUGGCGGUAUGACAUCCAGUUAUAUCCUUACGGAAUCUGAUAGAUUGAAUUGGGUGACUUUUAAUCUAAUCUGAUAACUCAUACUUCUGUUACUUGCCUCAUUUUAUAUGCAACUUUUUNNNNNNNNNNNNNNNNNNNNNNNNNNNNNNNNNNNNNNNNNNNNNNNNNNNNNNNNNNNNNNNNNNNNNNNNNNNNNNNNNNNNNNNNNNNNNNNNNNNNNNNNNNNNNNNNNNNNNNNNNNNNNNNNNNNNNNNNNNNNNNNNNNNNNNNNNNNNNNNNNNNNNUGUAUCUAUCUAAUAAUUAGAACUGUAAAAGUUGAUUUUCAUCUAUGAUUCUUAUUUCCUUUUACUUGUGUAGACAAAAUCGGCAAGGGAAAUAUUGUAAUUCAGUAUUUGCUAUAACUGAUGCCAUGGUUGCAAUAUUGUCUACAAACAUGAAUAGUUGUACUCCUUUCUCUAUUUUUUGAAUUUUUUGGUAUGUAUGUUUGUGUAUUUGUUUUAGUUACUGUUUUAUGCUUAGAAGUGCUCCAUUUAGGCCCUAGAUACAUGCAGGUACGGUUUGGCUAGCUGUGGACUUGUAUGGUUUUCUAGUUAAAGAAAAUAUCAAUCUUCUAGAAAAACUGCCUCAUGCGUGUACAUUUCUGCUUCAUUUUAGUUGCUGCCUCAUGCAUAAAAUUAUGUACAACUAUACAUUUCUUAUUAAUUUAUGCAUGUAGUGAUGUUUUGAAUCAUAUCGGAGAAUCGUUUAUAUUUAUUAAGACUCAAUGUACAUGCAAUUUGUAGUAUCGCCCAGAGAUCUGCCAAGCAUUAGCUUAGAAAAAUACUCUGUCCAAAUUCAGAGAAAUUAGCCCGGGUCAUAUUUAAAUAAAUAAAUAUAAGGCCCUAAUUGAAAUGCCAUUGUAUUUUCUUAAAUUUCAAUUAAUUAUCAAAUAGAAAAAUGGCAAGUCACAUUUGAACUUAUUUACAAGCAUAGCUCUUGAUAUUUAAAUAAAUAUAUAUAUAUUUAGAUAUACCUUCAAUUGGCCUAUCUCCUCUCAUAAUAUUUCUUUCAUUCAUAACUAUUGGAUAAAGAUUAGAAUUUGAUCAAUGAAAAAAAGAUAAACAAUUACCAAUUCUAAUUGAAAUGCCAUUGUAUUUUCUUAAAUUUCAAUUAAUUAUCAAAUAGAAAAAUGGCAAGUUUUUUUUGCUUCUUGAUUUUGAUUGGGAAAACUACUGAGACAGAGAUCUUUAAUUGCUAGACAUCUUCAAUAAAUGACUCCUAGCUAAAACUCCCAAAAACUAUUCAUAGAUAUCAAUUAUUAAUGCAUAUUUACUCAACAAAAAAUUAUGAUAUAUUCCAAAUAUCAUAAUUUUUUUUCCCUCUUAUUAUUUCUGAAGUUAUUUUCUUCCUGUUUCUAAUGUUUCUCUAAUUCUUAAUCCCUUAAUGAUGAGGCGAGAAAGAUUACGAAAGUCAAACUGAUUAAAACUACAUAUAUAAAUAUUAGAAUCCAAACGUCCCGUGCCCAAAUCCUGUUGAACAACUAAUCUACAAGGGCAUUGGCCAGAGGCAAAUGAAGAUGGUUGAAUGAUUAAUUACUUUAAACAAAAAAUAAGUCGAAAUCUAUGAAUAGAAUUUUCCUUUCUUUAUACAUAUUCAAUUAUAACAAACGAUUAUUAAAUUACUCCCAACGAAAGGAUUAGGUUUUUCAUUAUUGCAAUUAAACAAGAUUCUCAUUUUCUCGCAUCGCGUGCAUUGCAAGUUGCAACAAUCGAAAACUCUUGCCGAUGCUAUUAGUAUAAUGUAUAAUGUGAGUGGCCGCAAAAAUGCUCUGCUGAUUUGACACCGGUGUAACUGUAAACUAAACUUUUAUUAUUAAGUAAAACAAACACAUGUUAACAAAAAGAACAAUAAUUCAUCAAUUUGUACAUUGACAACUAAAUAACUAUAAUUUUUUUUUGUUAAAUCUCUAUUUAUAAAAACUCUACUAACAAAAGCCCUCCUUAAAUAAAUUCUAGUUAAAAAGUUAUACCAAACGGAGCCAUAAUAUAAUUACAAAUUUCCUAACUAAGCUACAUUAUUAUGCACCUUAGCAAUUAAAGCAAAUACUAUUGACUUGAGGAAGCACUUUUUGUGUUUCUUUAUUAGUGUGUGCAUGUACCAAACAAACUCUUCUUAAAAGCGAAAACAAAUCUCUCUUUAAAUUAAUAAAUAUUAAUUUAUCAUGAUAAAUUUUUCAUUCAAUAAAUAAAUAAAUAACUUAUCUAAAAUAAUAUUUUUUCUUAGUCCUAACAAUAUUAUUUUAUAGAUAUUGUUCUACAUUACUGUGCAAUAAUGAAAAUUUUUUAUAUUUUUAAAAAUAUAGUUACAAUCUAGAUACAUGUACGUUGAUAAUACAACUUUGAAAUAUAUCAAGACAAUUUUGAAAAUCUACUUCUACUAAUAAUAAUAUUAUGGAGAAAUUAAUUGUCACGUGGCUGCUAUAGAGUCUUAUUCAACAGGGUAAUUGUUGUUAUAGUCAAAACAAAUAUUUAGUUUUUAUUUACUUGUUGAAGUGGUCCACUAAAUCAGCACUUGGUGCUAUCAUUUAGCUGUGUCUUUGUUAUUUUCUGUUAAUGUCUUUGUAUAAAUUCAUAGUCCGAAGAUGAAUAAAAGCCUUGGUUACGUUGGCACGUAAUUUUCUUCAAAGAUGAAUGAAGGCUUCCAAUUAAUUUUCUUCAAAGUUCCUCUAGUAUUGGAAGCCUUGGUCUUCCUCGAAAUAGACCAAGUUCAGCUGAUCGUUCUUUAUUUAAUUAACUACUACAAUAGGGAAAUGAAAGAAAACGAUCCUGAAAAGGCAUGAUUCCUUAUAAGAUCGCUAAUGCUCAAAAUAAGUGGCUCAUAGAAAGACAAUGACCAGUAAUGAACAUAACAUAAUGGGUUCAAUUUCUAUCAACUUGUUUGAUAGUGUAGAUGUGGGAUGGAGAUGGAUUAAAGGAACCUCUUUUGAAAAGCAUCGAAAAUGAAUAAAGUGGGAAAAUCAAGAUAAGCAUGUUUGGUGGAUGCAUUUUUUGAAUUACAAACAAAAAAUACAAAAUUGAAUAGUUCUUGGUUUCCACUUUUUUCAUAAAGGUAAAGAAUGUUAAAUUAAUGUUCUCUGAUGAUAUUUCUUAUCGGAUUUCCCUCAAAAGCAAAAUAAAUUGUCGGAAAAAUAAUACCUACUUCCUUAAAUUUUAAAAAAAUUAUCAUUUAGACCCUGAAAUUUUAAAACAGUUGCACCAAAAUCUUUUCUUUAACUAUGAUACCUCUUGAAUGUACUAACUAAAAAAUUGACUUUAAAAAAUUUUAAUCAAUACGAAUAUAAUAUAAAUAAUAAAAUCUACGUAGUAGGCUAAUAACAUUAUGAGCUAUUUUCCUAGAGGGUAUAACGCUGAUGACAAUGAGGAGAAUCACUUAAUUAACGUAUUGAAAUAGCAACUUGGUUUAGAUCUACAAUGCCACUUGCUAUAUGAAAACGUAUAUAAUCAUAAUUAAUUAGCGAAAAGGACGUUGUAAUUAUCUGAAUUAAGUAAUAAACGCUUCAACUAAUCUACAAGGGCAUUGGCCAGAGGCAAAUGAAGAUGGUUGAAUGAUUAAUUACUUUAAACAAAAAAUAAGUCGAAAUCUAUGAAUAGAAUUUUCCUUUCUUUAUACAUAUUCAAUUAUCACAAACGAUUAUUAAAUUACUCCCUACGAAAGGAUCAGGUUUGUCAAUAUUGCAAUUAAACAAGAUUCUCAUUUUCUCGCAUCGCGUGCAUUGCAAGUUGCAACAAUCGAAAACUCUUGCCGAUGCUAUUAGUAUAAUGUAUAAUGUGACUGGCCGCAAAAAUGCUCUGCUGAUUUGACACCGGUGUAAUUGUAAACUAAACUUUUAUUAUUAAGUAAAACAAACACAUGUUAACAAAAAGAACAAUAAUUCAUCAAUUUGUACAUUGACAACUAAAUAACUAUAAUUUUUUUUGUUAAAUCUCUAUUUAUAAAAACUCUACCAACAAAAGCCCUCCUUAAAUAAGUUCUAGUUUAAAAAUUAUACCAAAUGGGGUCAUAAUAUAAUUACAAAUUUCCGAACUAAGCUACAUUAUUAUGCACCUUAGCAAUUAAAGCAAAUACUAUUGACUUCAGGAAGUACUUUUUGUGUUUCUUUUAUUAGUGUGUGCAUGUACCAAACAAACUCUUCUUAAAAGCGAAAACAAAUCUCUCUUUAAAUUAAUAAAUAUUAAUUUAUCAUGAUAAAUUUUUCAUUCAAUAAAUAAAUAAAUAACUUAUCUAAAAUAAUAUUUUUUCUUAGUCCUAACAAUAUUAUUUUAUAGAUAUUGUUCUACAUUACUGUGCAAUAAUUAAAAUUUUUUAUAUUUUUUAAAAUAUAGUUACAAUCUAGAUACAUGUACGUUGAUAAUACAACUUUGAAAUAUAUCAAGACAAUUUUGAAAAUCUACUUCUACUAAUAAUAAUAUUAUGGAGAAAUUAAUUGUCACGUGGCUGCUAUAGAGUCUUAUUCAACAGGGUAAUUGUUGUUAUAGUCAAAACAAAUAUUUAGUUUUUAUUUACUUGUUGAAGUGGUCCACUAAAUCAGCACUUGGUGCUAUCAUUUAGCUGUGUCUUUGUUAUUUUCUGUUAAUGUCUUUGUAUAAAUUCAUAGUCCGAAGAUGAAUAAAAGCCUUGGUUACGUUGGCACGUAAUUUUCUUCAAAGAUGAAUGAAGGCUUCCAAUUAAUUUUCUUCAAAGUUCCUCUAGUAUUGGAAGCCUUGGUCUUCCUCGAAAUAGACCAAGUUCAGCUGAUCGUUCUUUAUUUAAUUAACUACUACAAUAGGGAAAUGAAAGAAAACGAUCCUGAAAAGGCAUGAUUCCUUAUAAGAUCGCUAAUGCUCAAAAUAAGUGGCUCAUAGAAAGACAAUGACCAGUAAUGAACAUAACAUAAUGGGUUCAAUUUCUAUCAACUUGUUUGAUAGUGUAGAUGUGGGAUGGAGAUGGAUUAAAGGAACCUCUUUUGAAAAGCAUCGAAAAUGAAUAAAGUGGGAAAAUCAAGAUAAGCAUGUUUGGUGGAUGCAUUUUUUGAAUUACAAACAAAAAAUACAAAAUUGAAUAGUUCUUGGUUUCCACUUUUUUCAUAAAGGUAAAGAAUGUUAAAUUAAUGUUCUCUGAUGAUAUUUCUUAUCGGAUUUCCCUCAAAAGCAAAAUAAAUUGUCGGAAAAAUAAUACCUACUUCCUUAAAUUUUAAAAAAAUUAUCAUUUAGACCCUGAAAUUUUAAAACAGUUGCACCAAAAUCUUUUCUUUAACUAUGAUACCUCUUGAAUGUACUAACUAAAAAAUUGACUUUAAAAAAUUUUAAUCAAUACGAAUAUAAUAUAAAUAAUAAAAUCUACGUAGUAGGCUAAUAACAUUAAAGUAUAUUUAACAUUUAAAAUAAUAUUAAAAUUUUCAAAUUAUGAUUUUUAUUUUAAUCUUAUAUUUGUAUUUAUUAUAGAGAUUUUAAAUAAACCUUUGGAUUAAAAAGAUUUUAAAACGAGGUCCGGCGACUUUCCGGCGAUGUCCGACGGUGGUCCGGCGAGGUCCGGUGGUGGUCCGGCGACUUUCCGGUGGAAGUCCAUUUAUAAUAUUAAAUUAAUAAAAUAAAAUAAUAAUUAUUAAUAAUAUUAAAUAAGUUAAAAAAUUAAAGGGUAAUUUUAAAAACUUUAAUUUUUAAUAUAAGAGGAAUUUAAAAUUUUCACUAGUUAAUAUAAGAGAAUAUUAGAUUUUUUUGUUUUUUUUUUUAUUUUAGUUUAACAAUAUAAAUUUUUUUAAUUUUAAAUGGAUAAAUUAAUUGAAUUUUGGAUGUCCAUUAAAUAUUCAUACCCAUCCAAUAUCCAAUUGGAUAUUUUUAAAAAUAUCCAUAUCCAUAUCCAAAAAGAUUUUGGAUGGAUAUUAUCCAAUCCAAUUGGAUUGGAUAUAUGGAUAUCCAAUUUGGAUGGACCAAUUUGCCAUCCCUACUAAUAACAUUAAAGUAUAUUUAACAUUUAAAAUAAUAUUAAAAAUUUCAAAUUAUGAUUUUUAUUUUAAUCUUAUAUUUGUAUUUAUUAUAGAGAUUUUAAUAAACCUUUGGAUUAAAAAGAUUUUAAAAUUAACAAAAUGUCUUCCUAUUAAUAAUAUUAACAUUAUUUUUUAUAAUAUUCCAAAUAAUUUAAACUUCAAUUUAUUUAUUGUAAUAUUAUGUUUCUAUUUAUUAUUAAAAUUACUUUAAUAUGAUAAAAUAUUUUCUUGCUUGUCAAAAAAUUUUUUUUUCCACGAAAGCCAAAAUAAAAUUAUGUCAAUAUCAAUUCUUUAACAGAACAACCUUAGGCCUUUCUAAUGUUUAAUACUACUAUUUCCAUGCCCAAAAAUUGUAAAAUUUUUAAUUAGUCCUGUUACUGGGCUUGAGGCAGUUACGCCAGUGAAGGCAAUUUGAUAUUAAAAUAUUUUUUAAUGAAAAAUUCUUUAAAUUAAAAAAGAAACAAUUGAUUUAAGCACCAAUAAUUAUGUCAUGGUAGUAAUUAAAUAAGAUAAAGGUUGGAUACCGAUUGGGAUACCUGUUCUUUUCAAAAGGCACGCAUCUUGGACUUUUCUCUAAAUGAACGCGUAUCAAUUUUUUGAGUUAAAAAAAGAGCAAUAAUGUCAUAUUUGUGGAAUUUAGCCACUUACACAGUUUCUUGGCAUCUUCCUUUCAAAUUCUCCCAUGGUGUUUAAUCUUUCAACUAUACCUCUGAGUGCUACGGAGAGAAGGAGAUAUGCUGGAAUUCCACCUCCGACUGUUUUGUGAGAGGUUGAAAAGGGUGUUAGCAGGUGAAGAAGGCACGUUGCCGCUGCCAGAUUCAACAAAUUUAACUCCACUUUUUCAAAACCUUCUUACGGAGUCCGAAAUUAUUGCUACUACUCUGCUGGAAAAAAAUGAAGCUGACAUGGCUCGGCAUUUGUUUCAACUCAUUAGAGAAGAAUUCGAUGAAUCCAAAAUAUCUUCGCCUUUUUUGCAACUGUUGGACUUAGAAGAAAGCGAUGAAGAAGUCGUUGAAACAGCAGAUAUUUUUGAAAUUCUGGAGGACAUCAAUGACUUUGUCCAUGAAUCUGAGGAAGCCAUUGACACACUCUUCAUCAACAUCAUGCAGCAGCAAAACAGUGAAAACGAAAGUGAAAGCAGUACUAAUAUGGCUCUUCUUGCUGGUCUCCACAGUAAAAUCAUUGAUAUUAGUAAUCGGAUGCAACAACUUCCACCCGGCGACAAUGGUUUUGAUAUCAGUGAAAAAAGUAACGAAAUCAUUCGCCUAUUGAGUGAGGGACAACCUCGGCUCGAUAUCAGUGAAUUUGAAAGGGGCAGAGAGAAGUUUUUUGAUCUAUUGAUUGAGGGACCAUCUGGGCUUUCAGUGGUUGCAAUUCUCGACAGCAGUGGCUUCGAUAUUUUUCAUAAAGGUAAAGAAUGUUAAAUUAAUGUUCUCUGAUGAUAUUUCUUAUCGGAUUUCCCUCAAAAGCAAAAUAAAUUGUCGGAAAAAUAAUACCUACUUCCUUAAAUUUUAAAAAAAUUAUCAUUUAGACCCUGAAAUUUUAAAACAGUUGCACCAAAAUCUUUUCUUUAACUAUGAUACCUCUUGAAUGUACUAACUAAAAAAUUGACUUUAAAAAAUUUUAAUCAAUACGAAUAUAAUAUAAAUAAUAAAAUCUACGUAGUAGGCUAAUAACAUUAAAGUAUAUUUAACAUUUAAAAUAAUAUUAAAAAUUUCAAAUUAUGAUUUUUAUUUUAAUCUUAUAUUUGUAUUUAUUAUAGAGAUUUUAAAUAAACCUUUGGAUUAAAAAGAUUUUAAAAUUAACAAAAUGUCUUCCUAUUAAUAAUAUUAACAUUAUUUUUUAUAAUAUUCAAAAUAAUUUAAACUUUAAUUUAUUUAUUGUAAUAUUAUGUUUCUAUUUAUUAUUAAAAUUACUUUAAUAUGAUAAAAUAUGCAUAAUAAAUUUUAAAAAAUAAAAUAAUUUUCUUGCUUGUCAACAAUUUUUUUUUUUCCACCAAAACCAAAAUAAAAUUAUGUCAAUAUCAAUUCUUUAACAGAACAACCUUAGGCCUUUCUAAUGUUUAAUACUACUAUUUCCAUGCCCAAAAAUUGUAAAAUUUUUAAUUAGUCCUGUUACUGGGCUUGAGGCAGUUACGCCAGUGAAGGCAAUUUGAUAUUAAAAUAUUUUUUAAUGAAAAAUUCUUUAAAUUAAAAAAGAAACAAUUGAUUUAAGCACCAAUAAUUAUGUCAUGGUAGUAAUUAAAUAAGAUAAAGGUUGGAUACCGAUUGGGAUACCUGUUCUUUUCAAAAGGCACGCAUCUUGGACUUUUCUCUAAAUGAACGCGUAUCAAUUUUUUGAGUUAAAAAAAGAGCAAUAAUGUCAUAUUUGUGGAAUUUAGCCACUUACACAGUUUCUUGGCAUCUUCCUUUCAAAUUCUCCCAUGGUGUUUAAUCUUUCAACUAUACCUCUGAGUGCUACGGAGAGAAGGAGAUAUGCUGGAAUUCCACCUCCGACUGUUUUGUGAGAGGUUGAAAAGGGUGUUAGCAGGUGAAGAAGGCACGUUGCCGCUGCCAGAUUCAACAAAUUUAACUCCACUUUUUCAAAACCUUCUUACGGAGUCCGAAAUUAUUGCUACUACUCUGCUGGAAAAAAAUGAAGCUGACAUGGCUCGGCAUUUGUUUCAACUCAUUAGAGAAGAAUUCGAUGAAUCCAAAAUAUCUUCGCCUUUUUUGCAACUGUUGGACUUAGAAGAAAGCGAUGAAGAAGUCGUUGAAACAGCAGAUAUUUUUGAAAUUCUGGAGGACAUCAAUGACUUUGUCCAUGAAUCUGAGGAAGCCAUUGACACACUCUUCAUCAACAUCAUGCAGCAGCAAAACAGUGAAAACGAAAGUGAAAGCAGUACUAAUAUGGCUCUUCUUGCUGGUCUCCACAGUAAAAUCAUUGAUAUUAGUAAUCGGAUGCAACAACUUCCACCCGGCGACAAUGGUUUUGAUAUCAGUGAAAAAAGUAACGAAAUCAUUCGCCUAUUGAGUGAGGGACAACCUCGGCUCGAUAUCAGUGAAUUUGAAAGGGGCAGAGAGAAGUUUUUUGAUCUAUUGAUUGAGGGACCAUCUGGGCUUUCAGUGGUUGCAAUUCUCGACAGCAGUGGCUUCGAUAGGACUGCUUUUGCUGCAGAUACUUACAACAAUAAUCAUGUAAAGUUCUAUUUUGACUGUCUUGCUUGGGUCAGGGUUUCUGUAUUCUACGAUUUUCGCAUGAUAUUGGAUGACAUAAUCAAGUCUGUGAUGCCUCCAUCUCGGGUGAGUGUAAUUAUCGGUGAAGAUUAUCAAUUCAAGGAAUCUAUUCUUCGAGAUUACCUAACAAACAGGAAGUACUUUAUUGUGCUUGAUGAUGUCUGCGAUAACAUUGAGAUAUGGGAUGAUCUUGAAGAAGUUCUUCCUGAUAAUCAGAAUGGAAGCAGAGUAUUGAUAUUGGUCACUGAUCCAGACCUCCUUGCGUCGUUGGAAAUGGAAAACGGAGAGAAGAUUCGGCUUGCUUCGGUGCUCAUUGGAGGACCAUUGAUCAGAUUAAAGCAUGAAGCCUGGCAAUUUUUCGUCCUACACCAUGGAAGUAUGCCAUUAGAAAAUUAUGUUCAAG
rnacentral:lncRNA from 1 species